rnacentral:rRNA from 1 species
CAGCAGCCGCGGGAAUACGGAGGGUGCAAGCGUUAAUCGGAAUUACUGGGCGUAAAGCGCACGCAGGCGGUCUGACAAAUCAGAUGUGAAAUCCCCGGGCUUAACCUGGGAACUGCAUUUGAAACUGUCAGGCUGGAGUCUUGUAGAGGGGGGUGGAAUUCCAGGUGUAGCGGUGAAAUGCGUAGAGAUCUGGAGGAAUACCGGUGGCGAAGGCGGCCCCCUGGACAAAGACUGACGCUCAGGUGCGAAAGCGUGGGGAGCAAACAGGAUUAGAGACCCGCGUAGUCCCUGUCUCUUAUAC